UACGUAGGGUGCGAGCGUUGUCCGGAAUUAUCGGGCGUAAAGAGCUCGUAGGCGGUCCGUCACGUCGGGCGUGAAAAUCCAGGGCUCAACCCUGGACCUGCGCCCGAUACGGGCGGACUAGAGUUCGGUAGGGGAGACUGGAAUUCCUGGUGUAGCGGUGAAAUGCGCAGAUAUCAGGAGGAACACCGGUGGCGAAGGCGGGUCUCUGGGCCGAUACUGACGCUGAGGAGCGAAAGCGUGGGGAGCAAACAGG
rnacentral:rRNA from 1 species